ensembl:snRNA U5 U5 spliceosomal RNA
AUACUCUGGAUUCUCUUCAGAUUGCAUAAAUCUUUCACCUUUUACUAAAGAUUUCCAUGGAGAGGAACAACUCUGAGUCUUAAACCAAUUUUUUGAGGCCUUGCGCUUGCAAGAAA